UAAUUGGUGAAACGCCACUGAAAUCUCUUAAAGUGUGGAGAGACGGCAGGGAGGUGAUGGCAGCAGACGGCUGAUAAAAGCCAGCCGGUGGGACCUGAAGGUGUCUUCUUGGCAGCAGGACUCACUCUACACACCAAAUCUGCAAGAAGAAGCGGAGGAGAACUACAGGGGGGCACUCCAGAUCUUCAACCAAUGAGACUGAAGCUACUUGGGGGGAAUUCUGUUUCCAGAAGGAAAACGGAGUGUUGGGAAGAAAAGCUUGCCUCGGUCGUGUUUGGUUCAGAGACAGGGCUGACAUUAACCUCUGCCACAUUCAAACUCCCACUGCGGGUUUGCAUCAGUGACCCAUCUAUCCAUCCAUCCUCUUCGGUACCGUCUGAAUCCCUUUUGUGGUCAUGAGGUUGCUGGAGCCUAUCCCAGCUUCCGUGGGAC